GACGAACGCUGGCGGCGUGCCUAAUACAUGCAAGUCGAACGCUGAAGAGAGGAGCUUGCUCUUCUUGGAUGAGUUGCGAACGGGUGAGUAACGCGUAGGUAACCUGCCUUGUAGCGGGGGAUAACUAUUGGAAACGAUAGCUAAUACCGCAUAACAAUGGAUGACACAUGUCCUUUAUUUGAAAGGGGCAAUUGCUCCACUACAAGAUGGACCUGCGUUGUAUUAGCUAGUAGGUGAGGUAAUGGCUCACCUAGGCGACGAUACAUAGCCGACCUGAGAGGGUGAUCGGCCACACUGGGACUGAGACACGGCCCAGACUCCUACGGGAGGCAGCAGUAGGGAAUCUUCGGCAAUGGGGGCAACCCUGACCGAGCAACGCCGCGUGAGUGAAGAAGGUUUUCGGAUCGUAAAGCUCUGUUGUAAGUCAAGAACGGGUGUGAGAGUGGAAAGUUCACACUGUGACGGUAGCUUACCAGAAAGGGACGGCUAACUACGUG
rnacentral:rRNA from 1 species